rnacentral:rRNA from 1 species
UUUUUUUUUUUUUUUUUUAGCCCUAGACGACGCUGGCGGCGUGCCUAAUACAUGCAAGUCGAACGCUUCUUUUUCCACCGGAGCUUGCUCCACCGGAAAAAAGAAGAGUGGCGAACGGGUGAGUAACACGUGGGGUAACCUGCCCAUCAGAAGGGGAUAACACUUGGAAACAGGUGCUAAUACCGUAUAACAAUCAAAACCGCAUGGUUUUGAUUUGAAAGGCGCUUUCGGGUGUCGCUGAUGGAUGGACCCGCGGUGCAUUAGCUAGUUGGUGAGGUAACGGCUCACCAAGGCCACGAUGCAUAGCCGACCUGAGAGGGUGAUCGGCCACAUUGGGACUGAGACACGGCCCAAACUCCUACGGGAGGCAGCAGUAGGGAAUCUUCGGCAAUGGACGAAAGUCUGACCGAGCAACGCCGCGUGAGUGAAGAAGGUUUUCGGAUCGUAAAACUCUGUUGUUAGAGAAGAACAAGGAUGAGAGUAACUGUUCAUCCCUUGACGGUAUCUAACCAGAAAGCCACGGCUAACUACGUGCCAGCAGCCGCGGUAAUACGUAGGUGGCAAGCGUUGUCCGGAUUUAUUGGGCGUAAAGCGAGCGCAGGCGGUUUCUUAAGUCUGAUGUGAAAGCCCCCGGCUCAACCGGGGAGGGUCAUUGGAAACUGGGAGACUUGAGUGCAGAAGAGGAGAGUGGAAUUCCAUGUGUAGCGGUGAAAUGCGUAGAUAUAUGGAGGAACACCAGUGGCGAAGGCGGCUCUCUGGUCUGUAACUGACGCUGAGGCUCGAAAGCGUGGGGAGCAAACAGGAUUAGAUACCCUGGUAGUCCACGCCGUAAACGAUGAGUGCUAAGUGUUGGAGGGUUUCCGCCCUUCAGUGCUGCAGCUAACGCAUAAGCAUCCGUC